UUUUUUUUGCAAUUUACACAUAAUCAUUCACAAACAUAGGUAAAUAUGAUAAACGUAUGACUUUUUUCAAGAAUUUCAGUGACAUAAAUAAUGGAACAACAAUAAAUAGAAAAUUGCAUAGAUUGGUAGGAAGGAAAGAAUAAGUAAUGGAAACCAUGAAAACAAAGAAUAAUUUUUUAAUAUUUCUCAAAAACAAAAAAUUGAAGAAAUCGAACAAAUCUAAAUACAGCAAAAGGGAAACUGACUUCUCAAAAAAAAAAAAAAAAAAAAAAAAACAAAGAGAAACUGUGAGAUUUCUUAAUACAAUAAAAUUGAAAAAUGUUGAGGUAAACCUUAAUGCAAAGCGACUCCAGAGUGAAUCUUCCGACUUGUUUCCCACGGCAAGACUUGACGUAGGGUGGCUACGAACUUCAAGUCCUUUCCACCUUCUAGGAAUGACGUCUCCCUUUCUCUCCUUCUG
rnacentral:lncRNA from 1 species